CUGACCGCUGGCGGCGUGCCUAAUACAUGCAAGUCGAGCGAACAGACGAGGAGCUUGCUCCUCUGACGUUAGCGGCGGACGGGUGAGUAACACGUGGAUAACCUACCUAUAAGACUGGGAUAACUUCGGGAAACCGGAGCUAAUACCGGAUAACAUGUUGAACCGCAUGGUUCAACAGUGAAAGACGGUCUUGCUGUCACUUAUAGAUGGAUCCGCGCCGCAUUAGCUAGUUGGUAAGGUAACGGCUUACCAAGGCAACGAUGCGUAGCCGACCUGAGAGGGUGAUCGGCCACACUGGAACUGAGACACGGUCCAGACUCCUACGGGAGGCAGCAGUAGGGAAUCUUCCGCAAUGGGCGAAAGCCUGACGGAGCAACGCCGCGUGAGUGAAGAAGGUCUUCGGAUCGUAAAACUCUGUUAUUAGGGAAGAACAAAUGUGUAAGUAACUAUGCACGUCUUGACGGUACCUAAUCAGAAAGCCACGGCUAACUACGUG
rnacentral:rRNA from 1 species